UCGAUUCCCUUAGUAGCGGCGAGCGAAACGGGAAGAGCCCAAACCAACAAGCUUGCUUGUUGGGGUUGUAGGACACUCUAUACGGAGUUACAAAGGACGACAUUAGACGAAUCAUCUGGAAAGAUGAAUCAAAGAAGGUAAUAAUCCUGUAGUCGAAAAUGUUGUCUCUCUUGAGUGGAUCCUGAGUACGACGGAGCACGUGAAAUUCCGUCGGAAUCUGGGAGGACCAUCUCCUAAGGCUAAAUACUCUCUAGUGACCGAUAGUGAACCAGUACCGUGAGGGAAAGGUGAAAAGCACCCCGGAAGGGGAGUGAAAUAGAACCUGAAACCGUGUGCUUACAAGUAGUCAGAGCCCGUUAAUGGGUGAUGGCGUGCCUUUUGUAGAAUGAACCGGCGAGUUACGAUUUGAUGCAAGGUUAAGCAGUAAAUGUGGAGCCGUAGCGAAAGCGAGUCUGAAUAGGGCGUUUAGUAUUUGGUCGUAGACCCGAAACCAGGUGAUCUACCCUUGGUCAGGUUGAAGUUCAGGUAACACUGAAUGGAGGACCGAACCGACUUACGUUGAAAAGUGAGCGGAUGAACUGAGGGUAGCGGAGAAAUUCCAAUCGAACCUGGAGAUAGCUGGUUCUCUCCGAAAUAGCUUUAGGGCUAGCCUCAAGUGAUGAUUAUUGGAGGUAGAGCACUGUUUGGACGAGGGGCCCCUCUCGGGUUACCGAAUUCAGACAAACUCCGAAUGCCAAUUAAUUUAACUUGGGAGUCAGAACAUGGGUGAUAAGGUCCGUGUUCGAAAGGGAAACAGCCCAGACCACCAGCUAAGGUCCCAAAAUAUAUGUUAAGUGGAAAAGGAUGUGGCGUUGCCCAGACAACUAGGAUGUUGGCUUAGAAGCAGCCAUCAUUUAAAGAGUGCGUAAUAGCUCACUAGUCGAGUGACACUGCGCCGAAAAUGUACCGGGGCUAAACAUAUUACCGAAGCUGUGGAUUGUCCUUUGGACAAUGGUAGGAGAGCGUUCUAAGGGCGUUGAAGCAUGAUCGUAAGGACAUGUGGAGCGCUUAGAAGUGAGAAUGCCGGUGUGAGUAGCGAAAGACGGGUGAGAAUCCCGUCCACCGAUUGACUAAGGUUUCCAGAGGAAGGCUCGUCCGCUCUGGGUUAGUCGGGUCCUAAGCUGAGGCCGACAGGCGUAGGCGAUGGAUAACAGGUUGAUAUUCCUGUACCACCUAUAAUCGUUUUAAUCGAUGGGGGGACGCAGUAGGAUAGGCGAAGCGUGCGAUUGGAUUGCACGUCUAAGCAGUAAGGCUGAGUAUUAGGCAAAUCCGGUACUCGUUAAGGCUGAGCUGUGAUGGGGAGAAGACAUUGUGUCUUCGAGUCGUUGAUUUCACACUGCCGAGAAAAGCCUCUAGAUAGAAAAUAGGUGCCCGUACCGCAAACCGACACAGGUAGUCAAGAUGAGAAUUCUAAGGUGAGCGAGCGAACUCUCGUUAAGGAACUCGGCAAAAUGACCCCGUAACUUCGGGAGAAGGGGUGCUCUUUAGGGUUAACGCCCAGAAGAGCCGCAGUGAAUAGGCCCAAGCGACUGUUUAUCAAAAACACAGGUCUCUGCUAAACCGUAA
rnacentral:rRNA from 1 species